rnacentral:rRNA from 1 species
AUUGAACGCUGGCGGCAUGCUUUACACAUGCAAGUCGGACGAGUGGCGAACGGGUGAGUAACAUAUCGGAACGUACCGAGUAAUGGGGGAUAACUAAUCGAAAGAUUAGCUAAUACCGCAUAUUAUUCGAGCGGCCGAUAUCUGAUUAGCUGGUUGGUGGGGUAAAGGCCUACCAAGGCGAAGAUCAGUAGCGGGUCUGAGAGGAUGAUGGGCCAAACGGGGACUGAGACACGGCCCAGACUCCUACGGGAGGCAGCAGUGGGGAAUUUUGCGCAAUGGGCGAAAGCCUGAAGCAGCCAAGCCGCGUGUGUGAAGAAGGCCCUAGGGUUGUAAAGCACUUUCGGUCGGGAGGCGUUACCGACAGAAGAAGCACCGGCUAACUCCGUGCCAGCAGCCGCGGUAAUAC